rnacentral:rRNA from 1 species
UGGGGAAUAUUGCACAAUGGGCGCAAGCCUGAUGCAGCCAUGCCGCGUGUAUGAAGAAGGCCUUCGGGUUGUAAAGUACUUUCAGCGGGGAGGAAGGGAGUAAAGUUAAUACCUUUGCUCAUUGACGUUACCCGCAGAAGAAGCACCGGCUAACUCCGUGCCAGCAGCCGCGGUAAUACGGAGGGUGCAAGCGUUAAUCGGAAUUACUGGGCGUAAAGCGCACGCAGGCGGUUUGUUAAGUCAGAUGUGAAAUCCCCGUGCUCAACCUGGGGACUGCAGCUGAUACUGGCAAGCUUGAGUCUCGUAGAGGGGUGUAGAAUUCCAGGUGUAGCGGUGAAAUGCGUAGAGAUCUGGAGGAAUACCGGUGGCGAAGGCGGCCCCCUGGACGAAGACUGACGCUCAAGUGCGAAAGCGUGGGGAGCAAACAGG